AUGGCGCCUACGGACGCGUCGGCGUCGGAGUGGGACAAUGACUCGGGCCGCCCGGCCUUCCUCAACGUGUUUCUGCCCACCAGUGUCCCAGUGCCGGCGACGGCGAUCCGCGCGACCACUCCGGAGCGGGAGCGUCGGACGACCCGCCCGGCCUUCAUCAACGUGUUCAUGCCCCCGGCGCCCCCUCUCCCAGAGAUGACCAUGGCCGAUCUGCAGCGACGCUUGAAGGACCCCUCGGUGGAGAUCAUCACGCACCCGCCGCCCAGGAACCAGUUCCGCUUCCGGGCGGACUACCUCGCCCACGUCGCCCUGCUCGACUACCCCAAGGAGCAGCGCCACGAGGAGGGCAUUAACCGCAGCUGCGGCGGCUUCGGGUUCGUGGUGGAGACCGACCCCGCCUGCUUCGCGGCGCCUGACCUGGCCCCGGUCCACCUCGUCGUCAACCUCGUGCAUCCCCGGAACAUCCCCCGCGAGGUCCGCAUCAGGUACGGCGAUCAUCGGUUCCGCAACGUCGUGCCUGUCCAGAUCAUGAGGGUUUGGGACAAGUCCCUGUCCACCGGCGCUGACGGAGAGUACGUGCCUAUGUUCGAGGCCGCGGCGGCGGCCUCCUAG
rnacentral:rRNA from 1 species